GAUGAACGCUGGCGGCGUGCCUAAUACAUGCAAGUCGAGCGAACAGACGAGGAUCUUGCUCCUCUGACGUUAGCGGCGGACGGGUGAGUAACACGUGGAUAACCUACCUAUAAGACUGGGAUAACUUCGGGAAACCGGAGCUAAUACCGGAUAAUAUAUUGAACCGCAUGGUUCAAUAGUGAAAGACGGUUUUGCUGUCACUUAUAGAUGGAUCCGCGCCGCAUUAGCUAGUUGGUAAGGUAACGGCUUACCAAGGCAACGAUGCGUAGCCGACCUGAGAGGGUGAUCGGCCACACUGGAACUGAGACACGGUCCAGACUCCUACGGGAGGCAGCAGUAGGGAAUCUUCCGCAAUGGGCGAAAGCCUGACGGAGCAACGCCGCGUGAGUGAUGAAGGUCUUCGGAUCGUAAAACUCUGUUAUUAGGGAAGAACAAAUGUGUAAGUAACUAUGCACGUCUUGGCGGUACCUAAUCAGAAAGCCACGGCUAACUACGUG
rnacentral:rRNA from 1 species